CAUACUGUUUUAGCUACUAAAUAGCAUGUUAGUGUGGAGUUUCGGAUGCAGCCAUGGUGAAUUUAGCUUGGUCUCAGAGAACGAGACGUCAUGACUGAUAAGACAAAGCGUUGGCGUCAGUGCGGGUGUUACCAAAGGUGUCCGUUUGCGACCUUUGAGACUGGAUCACAACCCCGCAGACUCCGAACCAAAACGGGUCAGAAGUGAUUCCAAAUGUCUCCGGUUUAGGGGCUCGGAAACGCCAGAGCAGGAGGAAUGAGGGGGGGAAACGUUGCAGAAGAUAUUCAUUUUUAAA